rnacentral:misc_RNA from 1 species
GUCGAGAAUAAACUAAGAGUUAUGAAAGGAACAAUCGAGAAACACCAGAAAAGCAAUACUCAGAGCAAGUGAUAAUAGAAAGAGAACCCCUCCACAAAUCCAAACCACUAGAUUCCUCUAAAAGACAACUUAAAAGGAGAGAGAGAGAGAGAACUAUGAAAUACAUAAUACUGUUCCAUGCCUCAAAUAGCACAAGCAAGCAAGCACUCAUCCCAACCUUGUCUAAACCACUUCCACAUACCCACUCCAAAAGUAUUCUUUAUCAGUUUAACAAUCCAACCAUGAAGCUCUGUAACCAAAAAAAAA